rnacentral:rRNA from 1 species
UGGCUCAGAGCGAACGCUGGCGGCAGGCCUAACACAUGCAAGUCGAACGAACUCUUCGGAGUUAGUGGCGGACGGGUGAGUAACACGUGGGAACGUGCCUUUAGGUUCGGAAUAACUCAGGGAAACUUGUGCUAAUACCGAAUGUGCCCUUCGGGGGAAAGAUUUAUCGCCUUUAGAGCGGCCCGCGUCUGAUUAGCUAGUUGGUGAGGUAAAGGCUCACCAAGGCGACGAUCAGUAGCUGGUCUGAGAGGAUGAUCAGCCACAUUGGGACUGAGACACGGCCCAAACUCCUACGGGAGGCAGCAGUGGGGAAUCUUGCGCAAUGGGCGAAAGCCUGACGCAGCCAUGCCGCGUGAAUGAUGAAGGUCUUAGGAUUGUAAAAUUCUUUCACCGGGGACGAUAAUGACGGUACCCGGAGAAGAAGCCCCGGCUAACUUCGUGCCAGCAGCCGCGGUAAUACGAAGGGGGCUAGCGUUGCUCGGAAUUACUGGGCGUAAAGGGAGCGUAGGCGGACAUUUAAGUCAGGGGUGAAAUCCCGGGGCUCAACCUCGGAAUUGCCUUUGAUACUGGGUGUCUUGAGUAUGAGAGAGGUGUGUGGAACUCCGAGUGUAGAGGUGAAAUUCGUAGAUAUUCGGAAGAACACCAGUGGCGAAGGCGACACACUGGCUCAUUACUGACGCUGAGGCUCGAAAG